UACGAAGGGGGCUAGCGUUGUUCGGAAUUACUGGGCGUAAAGCGUGCGCAGGCGGUUUUGUAAGACAGAGGUGAAAUCCCCGGGCUUAACCUGGGAACUGCCUUUGUGACUGCAAGGCUUGAGUGCGGCAGAGGGGGAUGGAAUUCCGCGUGUAGCAGUGAAAUGCGUAGAUAUGCGGAGGAACACCGAUGGCGAAGGCAAUCCCCUGGGCCUGCACUGACGCUCAUGCACGAAAGCGUGGGGAGCAAACAGG
rnacentral:rRNA from 1 species